CGCGGGGUAGAGCAGUUCGGUAGCUCGUCGGGCUCAUAACCCGGAGGUCGUCGGUUCAAAUCCGGCCCCCGCAACCA
rnacentral:tRNA from 1 species